rnacentral:lncRNA from 1 species
ACAUGAACCGAUCGAGUUUGCGCCUCAAACUAGCACGAGUGAUUAGAUCAUUAUCGUCACAUCUGUCACGUCACAACCUUAGUACGUACUUGAAGCACACUCAUCAAAAAGCGUUCUUUGUCACAUGUCAUCACAAAUUACUGGCCAAUCAGGGGCAAUUAUCGUCUGAAAAUGCGGUUAGCCUGAACCCGUCGGCCCGUCACGAUCGACUGGUUCGGGAGGGCGGGAAUACGGGAAGACAAAAUCCUUCUUUUUACUACAUGCCUUCCCUUGGUACAAGCUGCCUACAGGGGACAUAAUAUACAGUACCAAGAUCUUAGUGAUGCGUGGGUUUGAAGAGCAGGCUAUAAAUUGUCCAAUGAGCUGGACUUGUUCGAAUAACGGAUCCUCCAAUUUCCUCUAUUCGUCACUCGGUCUCCCCGAGUCUCCACCAGAGAUCAUUUCAUUUUGCAACGGCCCCUCCAAUGAAGAUACCAAGCGUCAAGUGAGUGAUGCCUAUUUGCAUGGGGAAGGCGAAUGUAACAACGACCUUAGUGUUAUGCAAAGCGGCCCGUCCAACUGCGCAUGCAUGAAAAAAAAAAAUUUAGCUAAAUUAUCGCUACCCAAGAAUAACAGAAAAAAAGACCAUUGAAACUACUACUACCUCGCUAGAAUAAGCGCCUUCCGUGGUGAUUCGGAUCAGGUACCACUUGACAUCAGUAAGCUACGUAGCAGGUACGUUUGAUGGAGCUUCUAGGCCUGUUGCACAGAAUGUCAUAGUCUCCCCGCAAUACUCCGAAACCUUGUUUGAUUUUUUUUCGUCUCUUUUUUCGGAUGAUGGCUGUGGAAUAUCAUGUCAGAUUCAAUUUCAGUAGGUCCAUGAUACAUCAGUCAUAAAAAAAGCCCAGAAAGGUAAGAAUUGAAGGUCGAUUGCAUAUCAUAUCCUGUCAUUCAGAAGAGAAAUAAAAGAAAAAAGAGAAAGAAAGAAACUCCUGAUCCAUAUUCCCAAAAUUGCAUUCCUUCGAUUUCCCAUUGCGCAUAGAGAACGAAAAUAAUCAUAUCGUAACUUCGUGCUGAAAAUCAUUGCCCCAGUUGUUGUUUUGUGCAUGUGUGUAUAAUGUGGAGAGCCGGAAGGAGAAAAACAAAAGAAAUUGUACAGAGGAAAAAAAACGGCCUCGGAAAAUAUGAGUAUGGAGAUCGGCCAUCGCCGAGCCAUGGACAAUACCAGGCGCUCGUUGUCGUCAAGGAAAUAAAACAGAAAUAGAGGGAGGAGAUGUUGGCGGAAAGGUCGUGCGUUCGACGCAUACUUUUUCGCAUCCCGAGUUGAGUAUUCAGCACAUGCUUGCAUCCAAGUUGUAUUCCAAAACAAAAGUAUCAGUACAAGUCAUCUUCAUAAGCGUAGCGUCAAGACAAUUCCGAACAGAUUCCCCCGCUCUGCAAGGGAAUCAUGCGUUGUGUUUAUCGUUCGCAUCAGAUCGCUCUUAAAAUUGACCCGAGUAAUUUGUCUGGGGGACGAAGGGUUGAGGAUCCAACUUCCUGAUUGCGACCUCGGCAGCAUCCUCUUUGGCGUUGUUGAGGUAUUGACCGUCGUACCAGUAUCGAGCGGCGAAACUCCCGCCUCCUACGUUGACGGUUGCUGACCAAGCGGUUCUACCUCCUGGAGAGAAAAGAAAGAGAAACAGAGUUAACGACGUAUCGAGCAUAGAAGAUAGAAAGGAAGAAAGAAAGGAAGGAAGAUCGUACCACGUCGAUCUGACACGAUAUGGAACUCGGGAGCUGCCAAUCCGUUUUUCGAGCAGUGGUCUAGAUGAAGAGUUAAUGUUAAUAAGGUGGAACCAUCGAAGAAAAAAGAUGAGUUCAAGUAAAUCAAUGCGAACCCCCUAGCAUCUUUUGCCAAUUAGGCAUUGCUCCCUGGCCGCCAGCAGUCGAAGUAGACAUAGUAAUGAGAUCGGAUUCUCUUGAUUCGAUAUAGGGAUGUAAAAAUGGAAAGUGACUUGGGAAAAGAGGAGAGCGAGGCGAUGUUCCCUUCCCAGCAAGUGUGAUCUGAUUGGUACCAAGAUUGACCCUUUGUUGUAAAUGACGGGAAGGUGGUCAACACACUUUCAAAUGGCAAGACACGACUAGAUACAAAUACAAUAAAAAGUCGUGUUGUCGGAGCGGGAUAGACAGCACAGCAAGACGGCAACUUAUAGGUAGUGGAUUCCCCUUGAGGAAGGCUUGGUUCUAGUCAAAGUAGGAGGAAGAGGAGAGAGAAUAAAAAUAUAUAUCCUACACAAAUGAGUGACAGGAGGGGAAGGUCAUAUUAAAUGCCAUUGGCAUGUCACCAGAAGAGAAUUGGAGGAGGAGGAUGGAUGUAUGUAUUGAAUGGUUUGCAGAUGGAUAACAUCGGACAUUUGCCCCUCUUCAUGUACAAGUUCGGCGGAGAGAGAGGGACCAAUAUGCAUGAAUAAGAGCAGGAUCUGUAUGUGUGGAUGAAGCCAAGUAGCCUCCCAUUUAAAAAAAAAAAAGGGCAACAAUAGAGAAAUUAGGCGUGUGAGUGUGUGAGGAAAGAAAUAAAAUAUUGAAAAACAUGUGUGAAGUGACAAGCCAGAAAAUGAAAUGCCCCUCCAGAUGUUGUUGUCAUCCACUCGGUUAGUGGCUAGGGUUGCUUUGCUUUUGCAGCACAUCAAAAUAAUCAAUAAAAAUCAAUAAAAUAAAUAAAUCAAAAACGAGGAACAUGCGGAUCAUAGGAAAAGAGGCUGCAGGCAGGGGACGGCCCGUCGCACAUUAGGUACCUAGGCAAAUUGCCUGACCAUUUAUAGACAGACGUUUAAUACAUCCUUAGGCCUUGAAGCGGCCGACUCUUACGAUUAUGCACAAGCCUGGGGCCGUGAUCGAUCGGUAGGGAUGUUAAGCUGUAGGGGUAAGAAGGGUCUUCAUUAGGGAGGGAAACAAUUAAGGCAAGUAAAGAAAAUGAAAAAGCAAAUACAUAUGAUGAUGAUGAUGAUGAUGUCUACUCUACAGAGGAGAGGAACCCAUGGAUGAGGGGCAUGAAUUGGUUGGCCGAGAAGAAGGGAGACAAGAGGAGUGGAGGAGAAAGAAUAGAGGGUCCAAUUAGCCUACAGACAUGUUUGGUUUAUUUCCAGCGAUAGCUGUCAAGCCAGUGAACGUGGUUCUAGCAAACUGGUUAUCGGAUUUGACAUGCAGAUAGAAGUGGAUAGGGAAUCUUGAAGAGAAGGGGAAAGGUUGGAAAAAAUGGGGCAAGAAACAGACGAACAUCACGCGAAAGCCUAAAGGCGGAGUAUUUCCCGGGACCUGCUGACGAAUCAUUUUAUAAAUAACGCGAAGGAAUUUAUCAUUUGAUGGGCACAUAAAAAUCAACUUGAACUUGAUAGGAAGGAACUUGACCUGGACCCGUCCUGACUUGACGCCUUGUUGCACACUCCCCUGUCCAGCCAGUUGGGCUCCGCGGUAUGUAUACCUAGGUCAUCCACGCUGGCCCAGACAAUCGCCGGAGAACCAAAGCGGCCAUUACCCAAUUUGCAAUUUUCAAUGGAAGAAAAUCAACAACGGCACAUACUAGACAUGUAUUCAUUCAUGUAGGUACUCGGUUGCACUUCAAUGUUGUUUUUCGCUAAAUGCGGCUUCUGAAUGUGCUGACUUUUUUUUCAACAACGGCAACAGCCCAUGUGUGUACACAGUACAAACAUAUACCUACCUCCUUCACUAACCACACACAAAAAUACUUCCAUGGGUAUGUACCAUACCUGACAAUAGACAUGGGGCAUUUAUGCAGAAAAGAAAAUCCAACGUCGGGCAAGGGGGGAAAGGGGGGGGGGGGGGCCAACAGCCCUUUUCUCUUUUAAAAGAAGAUUAAAAAAUCGCUGAUUGGCUGCUUUACUUUUAUUUAUUCUAUUUUUUCAAUCCUGUCAGAGUCUGCCCUUGCGCACACUUUGUUGGCGGCUAUUCGAUGUAGCACCACUAUCCGCACUAUGUUGGCACCAUUUUGGGCAUUCAUACCUGCAGAUAUUCGGUCUAUUGAUAGGAAUGACAUUUUCUUGUGGGGGAUUUUUUUUCUUUCUUUCGUCGACUAGCUUCUCAAUAAACAUAUAUGUAUAUGUAAGGCGGAAAUAGUGAGAUUUACCGCAUCAUUAUGUAGCAUUCUUCUCUGCGUUGGUUUUCUCUAUGUUUGAACCAAGAGUGAAAGCAAGCAAGAAGGGCCAAAAAAUUGCCUAAAUCGGAACCUGCCUUUUUCGGGGGGGGUUUGCCUCUUUUCGCCUAAGCCCUAACUUUAUUUGGUCAGUACCAGAACAGAAGGGAAUUGGGGGUCUG